CGAUUCUGGCUCAGGAUGAACGCUGGCGGCGUGCCUAACACAUGCAAGUCGAGCGGGAAUCGCCCGAAUGAGAUUCGGUCAAAUGAAGGCGAGGAUAGCGGCGGACGGGUGAGUAACGCGUAGGUAAGCUGCCCUUUGCUGUUGGAUAGCCUCGGGAAACUGGGAUUAAUACAACAUAACGCGCCGAGGUCACAUGGUCUUGACGCCAAAGAUUUAUCGGCAAAGGAUGCACCUGCGUCUGAUUAGAUAGUUGGUGAGGUAACGGCCCACCAAGUCAACGAUCAGUAGCCGACCUGAGAGGGUGAUCGGCCACAUUGGAACUGAGACACGGUCCAAACUCCUACGGGAGGCAGCAGUGGGGAAUAUUGCACAAUGGGGGAAACCCUGAUGCAGCAACGCCGCGUGAGCGAAGAAGGUCUUCGGAUCGUAAAGCUCUGUCCUUGGGGACGAAGGAAGUGACGGUACCCGAGGAGGAAGCCCCGGCUAACUACGUGCCAGCAGCCGC
rnacentral:rRNA from 1 species